UACGAAGGGGGCUAGCGUUGCUCGGAAUCACUGGGCGUAAAGCGCACGUAGGCGGCUUCUUAAGUCAGGGGUGAAAUCCUGGAGCUCAACUCCAGAACUGCCUUUGAUACUGGGAGGCUCGAGUCCGGGAGAGGUGAGUGGAACUGCGAGUGUAGAGGUGAAAUUCGUAGAUAUUCGGAAGAACACCAGUGGCGAAGGCGGCUCACUGGACAUGUAUUGACGCUGAGGUGCGAAAGCGUGGGGAGCAAACAGGG
rnacentral:rRNA from 1 species